ensembl:snoRNA F16A11.12 ncRNA
GUCUCAGCGGGACAUUGGAAACAAAGAGUAUUUUCAACUGAUGUGAUCACAUUAUUCUUGGACUGAGUAAAUAGUCCAUUUUUUGACUGUGCCGACAUUUUUGAAAUAGAGGGAAAAUAUUAUCUUUCGAAUACAUAAUGAUUU